GCCUGGGUGGCUCAGUCGGUUAAGCGUCUGACUUCAGCUCAGGUCACGAUCUCGCAGUCCGCGAGUUCGAGCCCCGCGUCGGGCU
rnacentral:tRNA from 1 species